GGCUUGUGUUCUCACAACGGAGCCCUGGAGAUGAGAGGUCAACACAGAAGGCUGCUGGUGGCUGCUGGGGCCUGGAGCUGAACACACCCCACACAGGGUUCGAGGGAAACAGCCAGAAAAAUCUGUGGGUGUUAAAGUCCCAGCCCGUGAAGGUCCCACAACCUCCCAGCACAGCGCCACCAUCUGGGAGCAAGUGUUCAAACACCUGAGCUGCGGAGACACUUAGAAUUCAAAUCACAGCAGUUGGGAGGCAAAUGACGGUACCAGAUGGCAACAACGGACAUAGACGUCUAGUGAUCAACAGCUCUGGAAGUGAGAGCAGGACCUUCCUGGGGGUGGGCCUUUGGCCAGGUGAUCAGCUGAGCCCAAGAGGAAUGCUGGAUCUCCAUCCUCAGCACCGUGCACAGCUUCUUAGAGUAGCCUGGAAAAUGCUCCCGGGAUUGUGCGGAGCUGAGAAGGAAAACGGAGGCUGUUUUGAAGAGUUGCAUUGGAGCAUGAAAGAAACGUGUUUAUAAAUCAAAAUCAACUGCCCGGCCGCCGGAGAGCACAGCACUUCAGGGAAGGGGCUGCAGGCUCUUUCUGGAACCACAGGUCAGCACCACCAGGCCCAGCUUGAGCUGUGAAUUUGAGAGUUGCGAGCAUGUAACAGAAGAGAAGCCAUGGGUCUGAGGAAGUCUCCCGAGGAACCAAGGCUGGCAGUUCCAAGAUGUGAGCCCUUAGCUUCUGCCACCGCUGCUUGCUGCCUUGGCUCUGCCGUCAUGGAUUCUAACCCUCUGGAACAGGAUGGCCAGAUAAACCCUUUCUUCCACUCGCUGCCUUAGCCAGAGUGUUUCACCACAACAAUAGAAA